rnacentral:rRNA from 1 species
GUGUCAGCAGCCGCGGUAAUACGUAGGUGGCAAGCGUUGUCCGGAUUUAUUGGGCGUAAAGCGCGCGCAGGUGGUUCGUUGCGUCCGAGGUGAAAUCUCCCGGCUCAACUGGGAGGGGUCUUCGGAUACGGGCGAACUAGAGGAGAGCAGAGGUAGGCGGAAUUCUGGGUGUAGUGGUGAAAUGCGUAGAUAUCCAGAGGAACACCAGUGGCGAAGGCGGCCUACUGGGCUCCACCUGACACUGAGGCGCGAAAGCGUGGGGAGCGAACCGGAUUAGAUACCCGGGUAGUCCACGCCGUAAACGAUGGGCACUAGGUGUGAGGGGUAUUGACCCCCCUCGUGCCGUAGCUAACGCGUUAAGUGCCCCGCCUGGGGAGUACGGCCGCAAGGCUAAA